rnacentral:rRNA from 1 species
UGGGGAAUAUUGCACAAGGGCGGAGGUGANANGCCUGCCGCGUGUAUGAAGAAGGCCUUCGGGUUGUAAAGUACUUUCNACUUUCAGCGGGGAGUAAAGUUAAUACCUUUGCUCAUUGAUUGUUCCGCGAAAUAACNCCGGCAAACUCCACCGGCUAACUCCGUGCCACCAGCCGGGGUAAUACGGAGGGUGCAAGCGUUAAUCGGAAUUACUGGGCGUAAAGCGCACGCAGGCGGUUUGUUAAGUCAGAUGUGAAAUCCCCGGGCUCAACCUGGGAACUGCAUCUGAUACUGGCGAGCUUGAGUCUCGUAGAGGGGGGUAGAAUUCCAGGUGUAGCGGUGAAAUGCGUAGAGAUCUGGAGGAAUACCGGUGGCGAAGGCGGCCCCCUGGACGAAGACUGACGCUCAGGUGCGAAAGCGUGGGGAGCAAACAGGAUUAGAUACCCUGGUAGUCCACGCCGU